rnacentral:lncRNA from 1 species
GUUUCUUUUCCCCUCACCACGUCAUUUGUGGCUCAGUAACCUCCUCUUUCUUUGCUCAAAAUCCAGCGCUAAUUCUUUAGGAUCGAAUGGAGGAAAUAAAAAAUUCAUCGUUUCUCUCCAUUGGAUUGGUGCGAUUUCGGUAGAUUGAUAUAUGGGAUUUCAUCAACAAUCGAUUUUUAUAACCUACGAUUUCAUUCAGCCGGCGUCGGAGUUUCACUCGCCGUUGCUCUGAUCAUAUCGAUUCAAUCAGAAUCGACGGUGUUAAACCCACAUAUCGGUGGGAGAACUCAGAUCUAAAAUUCUACACCAAAAGAAGAUAAACUACGUAUGCCAUAAAGACUUCAAUCUCGUCUUCUUUGGCGACCUCACCGGUCAAGAUUUCUAGUGGUUCGAGCGUGAUCAUAAAGAGGCUUCCAGUGUAACUUAUGAAUUUAGCUAUGAAAAGAAACUAAAAAAGGAUUUUGCCAUUUGCUGAUCUCAUAUGCUCCGGUGGAACUGAGGAAGCACCAACUGAAUAACACUAAAAGUGAUGGUUAUCAAGAUCAGGUUCGAGAACUCCUGGAUGCUUAUAUCGUUUGUUCAAAAAAUCAGUGGUAUUGGAACAUAGCUUGUCGUUAUCAGCAACGACGGACAAGUCUCAACCCUCAGGUUUGCAUAAUUAAGGUUGUGUAGAAGUAUCUUAUCUAUCAGUUUUUGUUGAUGUUGGUGUGUAGUAUACGGAGGAUUACAAGAGUAUUAUCGACGUUGCAAGAAGUUCAAGUAUUAAGGCAAGUGAAAAUUUUCCUUUGAUAUGUGUUUGGUUUGAAGACAAUUUCUACAUUAUUUUUUAUUCU